rnacentral:rRNA from 1 species
AGCGAACGCUGGCGGCGUGCCUAACACAUGCAAGUCGAACGUGAAAAGGGAAACCUGAGUAAAGUGGCGUACGGGUGAGUAACGCGUAGGUAAUCUACCCCAGAAUCUGGAAUAACCUGCCGAAAGGCGGGCUAAUACUGUAUAGAGCGAGGGAACUCGUAAGAGAGUUUUUCGGGAAAGGGAGCCCGCAAGGGCCUUCGUUCUGGGAUGAGCCUGCGUCUCAUUAGCUAGUUGGUAAGGUAACGGCUUACCAAGGCGAUGAUGAGUAGCUGGUCUGAGAGGAUGAUCAGCCACACUGGAACUGAAACACGGUCCAGACUCCUACGGGAGGCAGCAGUGGGGAAUCUUGCGCAAUGGACGAAAGUCUGACGCAGCCACGCCGCGUGAGUGAAGAAGGCCUUCGGGUUGUAAAGCUCUGUCGGAUGGGACGAACAUCUUCAUAGUGAAUAGCUAUGAGGACUGACGGUACCAUCAAAGGAAGCACCGGCUAACUCCGUG